rnacentral:lncRNA from 1 species
AUUAUAUACAUUCACUAUUGAGUGAGCUUCUAGAGACUCACCUUUCUACCUUUCCUUGGAACACUGCUCUGGGAUCUUUGUCUCCCUUAGGCUCCUGGGCAUCAUGCCUUGUUCUAAGCAGCCUAAUCACUUCCAGAGUCUGAGUCUUCUGCACUGGCCCUUGAGCUACCUUGCCAUCUUUUGGAUCUUGCAGCCAUUGUUCUUUUACCUGCUGUUUACAUCCUUGUGGCCACUGCCAGCAUUUUACUUUGUCUGGUUGUUCUUGGACUGGAAGACCCCAGAGCAAGGUAAGACUAGUG